rnacentral:rRNA from 1 species
UCCGGUUGAUCCUGCCGGAGGUUACUGCUAUUGGAAUCCGAUUAAGCCAUGCGAGUCGAUCGGGUUUAGACCCGAGGCACACUGCUCAGUAACACGUGGAGAAUCUGCCCUUAGGUGAGAGAUAACCUCGGGAAACUGAGAAUAAUAUCUCAUAGGUUAUGAAUGCUGGAACGCUUCAUAGCUAAAAGCCCUGGCGCCUAAGGAUGACUCUGCGGACUAUCAGGUAGUAGUCAGGGUAAUAACCUGACUAGCCUACGACGGAUACGGGGUGUGAGAGCACUAGCCCGGAGAUGGAUUCUGAGACACGAAUCCAGACCCUAAGGGGUGCAGCAGGCGCGAAACUUCCGCAAUGCUCGCAAGAGUGACGGAGGGAUUCCAAGUGCCUAUGCAAUGCGUAGGCUGUUCUCAUGUCUAAAUAACAUGGGGAGUAAGAGCUGGGUAAGACGGGUGCCAGCCGCCGCGGUAAUACCUGCGGCUCGAGUGGUAACCACUAUUAUUGGGCCUAAAGCGUCCGUAGCCGGUUUAGUAAAUAUCUGAGUAAAUCGUGAGGCUUAACUUCACGAAUUUCGGAUAGACUGCUAGACUUGGGACCGGGGGAGGUCAGAGGUACUCCAGGGGUAGCGGUGAAAUGUUGUAAUCCUUGGAGGACCACCGGUAGCGAAGGCGUCUGACUAGAACGGGUCCGACGGUGAGGGACGAAGCCCUGGGGCGCAAACCGGAUUAGAUACCCGGGUAGUCCAGGGUGUAAACGAUGUGGGCUUUGUAUUGGAGGUCCUACGUGGGCUUCCAGUGCAGGAGAGAAGUUGUUAAGCCCACCGCCUGGGAAGUACGGUCGCAAGGCUGAAACUUAAAGGAAUUGGCGGGGGAGCACAGCAACGGGAGGAGCGUGCGGUUUAAUUGGAUUCAACGCCGGAAAGCUCACCGGAGUAGACUGUCAAAUGUGAGCCAGGCUGAAGACCUUGCUCGAAUAAUAGACAGAGAGGUGGUGCAUGGCCGCCGUCAGCUCGUACCGUAAGGCGUUCUGUUAAGUCAGAUAACGAGCGAGACCCCCGUCCUUAGUUGCUACUUUGAAAUCCGUUUCAAAGGCACACUAAGGAGACCGCUGGCGAUAAGUCAGAGGAAGGAGGGGGCAACGGUAGGUCAGUAUGCCCUGAAUGUUCCGGGCUACACGCGCGCUACAAAGGCUGGGACAAUGGGCCGCAACCCCGAAAGGGGAAGCCAAUCUCGAAACCCAGUCGUAGUUCGGAUUGAGGACUGAAACCCGUCCUCAUGAAGCUGGAUUCCGUAGUAAUCGCGGGUCAACAUCCCGCGGUGAAUAUGCCCCUGCUCCUUGCACACACCGCCCGUCAAGCCAUGCGAGUUGAGUCUGAGUGAGGAUGUGUUGUUAUGGCAUGUUCGAACUUGGGUUCUGCGAGCGGGGCUAAGUCGUAACAAGGUAACC